AUGUCCUCAUGGAGGGUCCUCUCCGCCCGCCACACUGCACUCAGCCCAUCCCCUCAGGGCACACAUGGCCUGGCGACCUGGGCUCAGGACCAACCAUGUCUAGCUAACUGCAGUGUGCCCAUAUGCCAGGGACGGGCAGACACAGGUGCAGGUCCUGACAGGUCUAUAAAACUAAUCAGGCCUUCCAGGGGCUGGGGUCUUCUCAGACCUCAAAGCUACCAGCGACACCCAGCAGCCCUGCUGUUGGGCUGCACCUGCUCUGCUGGGGAGCUCGGCUAUACCCGGCGCAGGGAACCACGUGCUUCCUGCCCUGCUGCCGUCUGCGUCCCUGUGGUUGUCUCACUUGGGCUCUGCCGUGUCUGCAGGGUGCUAGAACAUUCUCCAGAGAGCAAGGCUGUGGCUGUGCACACAUCUCUGAGGGCCAGAGGCCCCAGAAGGGACAGGGCUGUGGGCUCAGACACCUGUCAGAGGGGCUUCCUUGACCCUCCAAGCAUGUGCCCAGAGGGACCGGUUUUCUCCUGGUCCACCUGGUCUCCUGUUCUUCCCAUUGCUCCUGCCUCAGCCCUCAGGUGGACACGCAAUGCCAGGGUCACGACAGUCCGGAUCAUCUGCCAUAGGUCAUCUGCAGGUCCUCCAAGCAUAGCUCACCUCCUUACCCAAGGCCAUAGGACAUGGGGUUGCAGCCAGCACCCGCCAGGAAGAGCCCUCCACACCCACCCUCCAUCUCAGCCUUACAGCGGCCUGGGUCAGCCCUGGGUUCAUGGCCGACUCACUCCCGGUCCCAGGUGGGAGGCUUCCUGCCGCCUGCCAGCACUCCCCACGGAGCUGGGAGGUAGGUUCCCACGGGCGUGCCCCGGGGCCUGCCUCUGCCCAGCUAACUUCCCAGACCAGGGACCCUCCUGGAGGGCUCACAAACCGCGGGCGGGGUGCUCCAGUUCCCGCUCUAGCCCCCUAACCAGAGCCGGAAACAAGAACCAGUCGGAAGACACGGGUUGGCACAGCCCCCUUUGUGGGUCGGUGGUGGCUCUGAAAAGAGCCUUUGGGGGGAGUUCUGCAGGGCGGCAUGGGGAUGCGCGCGGGGCCUAG
rnacentral:lncRNA from 1 species